rnacentral:rRNA from 1 species
GAUGAACGCUCGCGACAGGCUUAACACAUGCAAGUCGAGGGGCAGCAUAAAAGUAGCAAUACUUUGGUGGCGACCGGCGCACGGGUGAGUAACGCGUAUGCAACCUACCUAUCAGAGGGGAAUAACCCGGCGAAAGUCGGACUAAUACCGCAUAAAACAGGGGCACCGCAUGGUGAUAUUUGUUAAAGAAAUUCGCUGAUAGAUGGGCAUGCGUUCCAUUAGGUAGUUGGUGAGGUAACGGCUCACCAAGCCGACGAUGGAUAGGGGAACUGAGAGGUUGGUCCCCCACACUGGUACUGAGACACGGACCAG